UACGGAGGGUGCGAGCGUUAUCCGGAAUUACUGGGUUUAAAGGGUGCGUAGGCGGCGUAAUAAGUCAGAGGUGAAAGGCACGAGCUUAACUGGUGAAUUGCCUUUGAAACUGUUAUGCUAGAAUUGAGUUGAGGUUAGCGGAAUGUGACAUGUAGCGGUGAAAUGCAUAGAUAUGUCAUAGAACACCAAUUGCGUAGGCAGCUAACUGGGCUUUAAUUGACGCUGAGGCACGAAAGCGUGGGGAGCGAACAGG
rnacentral:rRNA from 1 species